rnacentral:pre_miRNA from 1 species
UUAGCUCAUAUUUGUAUGACAUGGGAUCGUUUGCCUACGUUUGCCGCUAGGGACGCUGUUCCUACUGUAUACAAAAUUGGGUUA